GGGGAUGUUCUGGAUUCGUCACGGCAUGGACUAAAGUAUAAGCAUGUCAUGGUCGCUCAUGUAAAAAGGCCGAGGUUAUAAUAACCGGAAACCAAUCUUUACAAUUCGCUGCCUAAGAAAAGGUGCGAGCCAAAUUUGAAUUUACUUACGGUUCUAAUGCGGCCCAACUUUAGUAAGUUAUACUUAUUGAAAUUCCUAUAUCAAUAAAAGAACUCUAUAGGGUAGUAUUAUAGUCAUUUGUUCAUUUCGAUUAUAGUAUGAAUUCAUAAAUGGAAUAAACAUGUAGAAAGUACUUUAGAAAGUGUUUUGCACAGGGGUUCAAAUCCCCUCAUCUCCACCA
rnacentral:tmRNA from 1 species